rnacentral:lncRNA from 1 species
AAUGGACGCUGAAGGAGGAGGUGAAUAUUCAAUGUGCUGCCUCUGUGCCUGGUGACGGGCAGAGUUGUUCAGGAGUAAGUGCUCUGCUUUGGAGACAGCAAGGAGACUCUCAUUCCUUCAUUAUACACCAUGAACAAGAGAGCAAGAAAAUGAAAAAGACCCAGAACUUUGGCUGGACAGUCACUGCUUUUGCUAAUAUCAGUACCAUGGACAGCAAUUCUGCA